rnacentral:rRNA from 1 species
UACGUAGGAGGCUAGCGUUGCUCGGAAUCACUGGGCGUAAAGGGUGCGUAGGCGGGUCUUUAAGUCAGGGGUGAAAUCCUGGAGCUCAACUCCAGAACUGCCUUUGAUACUGGCGAUCUUGAGUCCGGGAGAGGUGAGUGGAACUGCGAGUGUAGAGGUGAAAUUCGUAGAUAUUCGCAAGAACACCAGUGGCGAAGGCGGCUCACUGGCCCGGUACUGACGCUGAGGUGCGAAAGCGUGGGGAGCAAACAGG